GAUGAACGCUGGCGGCGUGCCUAACACAUGCAAGUCGAACGAGAUGCGUAUCGGAAAGCUUCGGCCGGAAGAUACGUUAUCUAGUGGCGGACGGGUGAGUAACACGUGGGUAACCUGCCUUAUGGAGGGGGAUAACAGAGAGAAAUCACUGCUAAUACCGCAUAAGCACACAGUACCGCAUGGUACAGGGUGAAAAGAUUUAUCGCCAUAAGAUGGACCCGCGUCUGAUUAGCCAGUUGGCAGGGUAAAAGCCUACCAAAGCAACGAUCAGUAGCCGAUCUGAGAGGAUGACCGGCCACAUUGGGACUGAGACACGGCCCAAACUCCUACGGGAGGCAGCAGUGGGGAAUAUUGCACAAUGGGGGAAACCCUGAUGCAGCGACGCCGCGUGAGUGAAGAAGUAUUUCGGUAUGUAAAGCUCUAUCAGCAGGGAAGAUAAUGACAGUACCUGACUAAGAAGCCCCGGCUAACUACGUGCCAGCAGCCGCGGUAAU
rnacentral:rRNA from 1 species